rnacentral:SRP_RNA from 2 species
GCUGGGCGUGGUGGCGCGCGCCUGUAAUCCCAGCUACUCAGGAGGCUGAGGCAGGAGAAUCGCUUGAACUCAGGAGGCGGAGGUUGCAGUGAGCCGAGAUCAUACCAUUGCACUCCAGCCUGGGUGACAGAGCUAGACUCUGUCUCAA